rnacentral:rRNA from 1 species
GACGAACGCUGGCGGCGUGCUUAACACAUGCAAGUCGAACGAUGAAGCCUAGCUUGCUAGGUGGAUUAGUGGCGAACGGGUGAGUAAUACGUGAGUAACCUACCUUUAACUCUGGGAUAAGCCCGGGAAACUGGGUCUAAUACCGGAUACGACCAAUCUCCGCAUGGGGUGUUGGUGGAAAGCGUUAUGUAGUGGUUAUAGAUGGGCUCACGGCCUAACAGCUUGUUGGUGAGGUAACGGCUCACCAAGGCGACGACGGGUAGCCGGCCUGAGAGGGUGACCGGCCACACUGGGACUGAGACACGGCCCAGACUCCUACGGGAGGCAGCAGUGGGGAAUAUUGCACAAUGGGCGCAAGCCUGAUGCAGCGACGCCGCGUGAGGGAUGACGGCCUUCGGGUUGUAAACCUCUGUUAGCAGGGAAGAAGAGAGAUUGACGGUACCUGCAGAGAAAGCGCCGGCUAACUACGUG